rnacentral:rRNA from 1 species
GACGAACGCUGGCGGCGUGCUUAACACAUGCAAGUCGAGCGGGUAAGGCCCCUUCGGGGGUACACGAGCGGCGAACGGGUGAGUAACACGUGAGCAACCUGCCCUUCACAGUCGGGAUAACCCCCGGGAACCGGGGCUAAUACCGGAUACGACCACCGACGGCAUCGUCUGGUGGUGGAAAGUUCCGGCGGUGGAGGAUGGGCUUCGCGGCCUAUCAGCUUGUUGGUGGGGUAACGGCCCACCGAAAGGCCGACGACGGGUAGCCCGGCCUGAGAGGGUGACCGGCCACACUGGGACUGAGACACGGCCCAGACUCCUACGGGAGGCAGCAGUGGGGAAUAUUGGACAAUGGGCGAAAGCCUGAUCCAGCAACGCCGCGUGAGGGAUGACGGCCUGGUUGUAA